GAAGCUGUGGCUGCCCCAUCCCUGGAAGUGUCCAAGGCCAGGUUGGACGGGGCUUGGAGCAACCUGGUCUAGUGGAAGGUGUCCCUGCCCAAGGAAGGGUGUGGAACUGAAUGGUCUUCAAAGUCCCUUCCAACCUAAACCAUCCUGUGCCCCUGUGAUUCCAUAA